CUUAAUAGUAUUCAGUCAACAGGCAUGAAGGUGAGGGGGUGGAGGAAGAGGUCACACCUUCCUCUAAGCCACUGUAGAAGACCGAUACCCUCAUUUAUCAUCACUUUGUAAUCUGCUUGUUUACUUCCCUCCUGGUGUCUCUUCCCACUGGCUCUUCUCUCACUGCUGACUCUCACACCAAAGGACUGCAAGGCUCUUGGCCAGGGAAGCCACCUGCAACAGCAGGUCCCAGGGGAAAGCCAGCCCUCUCUGCAGUGUCUCAGCCUGGUUCCAAGGCCAGGCAUCAGCUGUGCUCAGACCCGACUUUAAAAAAAAAAGAAUCAGACAAUAGCAUAGACCUCCUGCUGCUAGAAAUUAUAAACUCUGUGAACACUAUCUGCAUUGUGCCUUCUGCAAUACACUGGUAUAUGCUUGAGAAAAACAGUAUGUUAACCCCAGCAGUGCUCCUCUGAGCUCCCAGUUAAAGAAACCCAGGAACUUUGGCACAAAGCUUUUCAGCAGGCACUCGUAUUUACUAGAAGCAGAAUUAAUCUAGAGAAAGAUGUGAAAAGAGCUCCUCCUCCAUCUCCAACAGCACCACUCUAUUUGAUAAUAGUGUUGUCUACUGCAGAGCAU